rnacentral:rRNA from 1 species
UACGUAGGGUGCAAGCGUUGUUCGGAAUUACUGGGCGUAAAGGGUUCGUAGGUGGCCAACUUAGUCAGACGUGAAAUCCCUCAGCUUAACUGGGGAACUGCGUCUGAUACUGGAUGGCUUGAGUGCAGGAGAGGAACGCGGAAUUCCAGGUGUAGCGGUGAAAUGCGUAGAUAUCUGGAGGAACACCGGUGGCGAAGGCGGCGUUCUGGACUGCAACUGACACUGAGGAACGAAAGCGUGGGGAGCGAACAGG